GGAUGUAGCUCAGUGGUAGAGCACUUGCCUAGUAUGCAUGAAGCCCUGGAUUCUAUCCCCAGAACUUCCA
rnacentral:tRNA from 1 species